GAUUCCACUGGGCGCUAUAGGCAGGGCGCACUCACCGAACUCCCCAAUCCCUUCCAGCCUCAGAGCCCGCCUGGCAGGACUACUGAGCAAGGCCUUGGAAAAUCGGAGCGAUUAGAGCGGUUCAAACAAUACAGAAGUGUAUAAAGUAAGAAUUGAAAGUCUCUUCGCUGCUCUAAUCUCACUCCUCAGAGGUGAUCACUGGACCUGAGUGAGCAGAAGGCUUUUCAGAAUUACAGCCUGAACUAUUUCUUGAGCAAUUUGGGAACUCAUUUCUAAAGCAGUCCUCAGAUUCACACAACGUAGUUUGUGACGGAGUAUGCCCAGAGCAGGUAGGAAAGGCAAAACAGCAUUUUGACACUGAGGGAUUUAGCAGAAAGAUCUGACCCAACAAGUAAAAACUCUUUUAAAGGUUCAGUCAAAUUUAUUCUCAUCACACUCCUCUGGAAUGCCCAACAGGCACAUGUUUUGUCAAUGAAAAUUGUUUUCAAUCUCAUUGAUGUUUUGUUUGGCAAGAACCAUUUCUUUCAACAAUUUCUUAUUAAUCAUCUAUAAUUUUUCACUUCUGACAGUGUUAUCACCAGUGCUUUCAGUAACUGCAUACUUAUAAAACAGCCAAACUUCAACCUGUGUUCAGUUUUUAUCUGUUUCUUGGGAAUGUAAUUUGGACAAAAAAGUUACCAAUGUAUUUACAACCAAAUUUCAGAUCUUCAACAUUACAGAGGGUAAGAAAUGUGAACACAAUGGAAUUCUUCUAUCAUCCUUAUUUUGUGAGAUCUAAUUAGUGUAUACUCACCUUCCCAGUAAUGUCAUGUUAGCUUUCUCCCUGUCUUUGUGGCUUGUAGAUUUCUGUCUCCAGGGGCAUGGUUUGCAUUGUGGUGAUCCAGAUAUGGAUAAGGCAACAUCCAGUGUCUUAAUAGGGUCCUGCCUUCCAAACAAAUAAUUCACUGUGGCUCUAAGAUUGUGUCUUUCUGCAUAUGCCAACUGAAGCUGUUUUAGCCAAACUACCUUCUACAUAGGCCUAGUGAAAAUACCUUCAGGGCUAGAUGAAGGUGUUUGGCAUGCUUUUUCUUCCAUGGUGGGGGCAACAUUGGGCAGUGCUGCCUUCCUGGCUGUGAGCAGCUUGUGGGUCCCCAGGGACCAUUUCACUGGACUUCAGCUUAAACAUUGUUUAUACAUGGCCAUCGAUUUCCUUUACCAAGAGCUGCCAAUCCAAUGGCAUUAGCCACACCUGCCAUGCACUUCCACCCCUCCUCAACCAGGUGGUAAGCACAGGAGACGAACUGGUGUUAGGAGAAAAAGCCAUACCGAUGGUCCAGUGCAGUGGGAUAGCCAGGAAACUUGUUAGAAAUUCAAUUCCCUGGCCCCACCCUACAUCUCUGGGUGAUUUGGAUAUAGGCCAUAACAUUUGAGAACUGCUGCUCUGGCUUAAUACAUCAGAAUCUUCCACUUUAUUAUUUUAUUUCCAUAUUUGUAUAUUCCUCUCUUCCCCUUUGACAUUUUCUGUCAUGGUUUUGCUUUCUAAAUGUCUUUAAGCUGUCUUGUUGAUGGGGGUGCACCCUGACGAAUGGUGUGCUGGCAAAGAUUUAACAAAAGGCUCCAGAGGAGGGCAGACUUGAAGUGGAGCCUUCAGUGGGCAGUGUGAAGGGUGCUGAUUUCAAACAACUCAUCUGGUAUGACUGAACAUGAAGUUGGGAAGAGAUGUGCAUAAUUGAAGUGGGUGAGAGCCAGUCCAGCACCCUGCAGAGAGGUAACAAUAAUUUUGUAGGUACUUCCUCAAAUUUAACUCAAUGGAGGUUUAGAUUGGGUUUAGAUUGAGUCAUUAGUUGCAGGUCAUUUGUUGAAUCAUUGAAUACUUUUGGUUGUUAAGGUGACUGAAAUACUCAGUUGAUGUCCUUUAAGAUCACUGAAAAUAUUUAAAAUCAGCUUACAUAUGGUAUUUUGGAAAUGCCACAUACGUAAUGGAUUAAAACCCACAACUAUAUUUGCUGCCUUUCCUAUGCAUGUCCUGUCAAAAUUAUUUUUUGGUGGACUAUAAGCCCUAAAACAACAUGGACCUUGUUUUCCUCUCCAUUAUAUUCUCAUUACUUA
rnacentral:lncRNA from 1 species